rnacentral:lncRNA from 1 species
GGAGAGACUAGUCUAUAUAAGAAGAAAUACAUCAGCAACAAGCACACAAUGUAUAUCUCCACUAAUAGCCACAUAAGGCCAAAUAAAUUUCGACAUAAAAGCCGGUAGCCUGAACAAAUCAGACAUGAAUCGCGGUGCUCCAAACUAUAAAUACAACUACAAAUCUUUAAACUCUCACAAAUAUAAGACAUAAGUAGAAACAAGACAACAAACAAACGCCACACUCACAAAGAAUUAAUGUAAUUAUUGUAACUUAAGAAACUGAAAGUAAAUAAUUCAACCACCUAGUCG